rnacentral:rRNA from 1 species
UAGGGAAUCUUCCACAAUGGCGCAAGCCUGAUGGAGCAACACCGCGUGAGUGAAGGAAGGGUUUCGGCUCGUAAAGCUCUGUUGUUGGAGAAGAACGUGCGUGAGAGUAACUGUUCACGCAGUGACGGUAUCAAACCAGAAAGUCACGGCUAACUACGUGCC